CACACACACACCAAAACCCCAGUUCAGGCCCGGAGAAAAAGCAAAGACCAGUGCAAUGGAGAAUGAUCUGGACUCAUCUUCCACCUCAUUUGGAAGUGCAUGAUGGGGAAGCUGGGCUGGGGGAGGGCUGGGCACCAGGAAAGGCAGUAGCUCCACCAAGCUGGUUUGAGCUCAGAACUAGCCCCAGGAACACCAUCUUGCCUCUUUGUCUCCCCUUCAGUGACACAUGGACUUUCUCAGACUUUUGCCAGGACUGAAAUGGGUUGACCUCUCUAAGUGGCCUCCAUUACUGGUGGUGGUGGGCAUGGACCAGGGGUGCUGGGAGACAGCUGGUGGGGCGGCUGCAGGCCACAGCUGAGUUUUUGCCUGCAGAGUGCCGGGACCUUAUCCGGGGACUGCUCCACCUGCGCCCACGUGCACGCCUGGAUCUGCAGCAGGUAGCUGCACACCGCUGGAUGCUUCCUGCUGUGCACACACUCUUCCGCUCGGUAGUGGGUACCACAUCAGGUGGGGCAUGGUCUGGGGGUGGAGUUGGGAAGCAGAUAGUCCUCUACACUCCAUCUGACUCCACUGCUGUCAGUUUCAGAGAAGCUAGCGGGUUCACAGCUCCUAGCGCCCCAGGAGGAUGCAGAGCAUGGUGCAGACUCAACCUACCCAAGGCGGCAACAGCAGAAGCACACCUGGGAGGAGAGCGCCUUGGGCCUGGCGCUCAGGACCUCCAAUGUCUUCCCCAGACAAGAAGCAGGUUCUGCAGGGCUGGGGCUCUGGUGCACCAAAGCAGGGAGCCAGUCACUGUGUCUAUGCUCUACCUAUGCUGUCAGGAACAUUCCUGGGCACUACAUGAUCAACUGAGGGUGGGUGAAUGGGUGGGUAUGGGCAGAUAAAAUGUUUAUUCUGUGGAGCUGGGAGUGCUGCUGUCUUAAUGCAGGGAAAAAGAAAUGGCUUCCAGCUGCCUCCCUGGUGGAGGCUCUGCCACCCCUUUCUGGUCUCUCAGGGAAAAACCAGCACAUCUAUCACACUUGCCUAGAUUGCUAGGCUUUAAUGGGGGCAGGCUAGAGGGCACCCUGGAAAGGGAAACCAGUGUCACCUAAUGAAGCACCCAGCCAUGUCAGAGAACAUGAGGCAGUGCAGUUUAGGGUUCUGGUGAGGUGGAACGGGGCCUGCAAGCUUCGGGAAGCUAAGCUCCUUCAUCAGGGUCUCUUCACUGGUGAAGAGGGAACAGCACUCAAGAGUCCCACGCAGGGGGCAUGAGGCUCAGGAAGGAAACAAAGUGGGGUGAAAGCCACUAUAACUGCUCCAAACUUGGGGGCAAGGGGAACACAUAUGAAACUAGGAUAAAAAAGCAUGCCAGGCCCAUGUGGGUGAGGGCAGGGGUAGGUGGUGGUGGGAAGAGAGGCUUGAAUGGGACAAGACUGCAGGCACACUGGGAAGGCUCUCUGCAGAGGUAGGCAAAGGGUCUGGGAGCAGCGUCCCGAUGUCUUGAAAGGCAGCUGAAGCUCAGGGAAGCUGACCAGGAGAGCAGGCCUAGUUAGAGAGCUAUGAGAGAACACCAGAUUGACCUGGGACUGGAAGAGCUGACCAGGCGCAGAGGACCCUGGGGCAUAGAUCAUGCAGAGAUGGAGAUCCCAAGAGAAAGUAGUACCCAGCAAGUGCUCCAAAGACAGGCCCAGGGGCAUAGUCCUAGGAAGAUCCCAGGAUCCAGG
rnacentral:lncRNA from 1 species